rnacentral:rRNA from 1 species
UACGAAGGGGGCUAGCGUUGUUCGGAUUUACUGGGCGUAAAGCGCACGUAGGCGGAUCGUUAAGUCGGGGGUGAAAUCCUGGAGCUCAACUCCAGAACUGCCUUUGAUACUGGAGAGCUUGAGUCCGGAAGAGGUGAGUGGAACUCCGAGUGUAGAGGUGAAAUUCGUAGAUAUUCGGAAGAACACCAGUGGCGAAGGCGGCUCACUGGUCCGGUACUGACGCUGAUGUGCGAAAGCGUGGGGAGCAAACAGG